UUCAAAUACUCUUGUUUAUAUUUUAUUUUAAUUUCUCUAUUCCAUUUUUUGGUUAGAAUCUUUGUAUUUUUUUUUAGCGGUCAUUCUAGGGAUUGCAGUAUAUGUACCCAACCUGUCAUAGUCUUCCUAGAGUUAAUAUUUUCCACUUCAAAUAAAAUGUAGCAGCCUUACAACUAUAUACACUCCUUUAUACUCCCUCUUAUAGUUGUUCUACAUGUUACAUUUAUAUGCAUUGAGAGCUCCAUCAGAUGUUGUAAUUUUCACCUUAACAUCAAUUAUAUUUAAAGAACUUAUGAGGAAAAAUAGUCUAUUAUAUUUACCCAAGUGUUGUAGAUUGAAUUAUGUCCUUCAAAAGAAGAUACAUUGGAAUCCUAACUCCCAUACCUCAGAAUGUGUCCUUAUUUAGUGAUAGGGUCUUUACACAGGUAAUCAAGUUAAAAUGAGGUCAUUAGAAUCCAAUAUGACUACCGUCCUUAUAAAAAGGGGGAAAUUUGGACACAAAGACACACAGGAAGAACACCAUGUGAAGAUGAAGGCAGAGAUCAAGGUGAUCGAUAUACAAGCCAAGGAAUGUCAAUGACUGACAGCAACCACCAGAAGCUAGAAGAGAGGCAUGGAAAAGACUUUCUCUCACAGCCCCCAGAAGGAAUCAACCUUACUGAUACCUUACUUCUAGCCUCCAGAACUGUGAGACAAAUAUUUUAUACCGUUUAAGCUACCUAGUGUGUGGUAUUUAGUUAUGGCGGCCAUAGAAAGCUAAUAAACCAAGUAUUUCCCAUUUCUGUUAUUCUUCCUUCAUUCCUGACACGCCAGGUUUCCUUCUGGUAUCAUUGACUUUCAGACUGAGCAACUUCCUUGGGUGUUUCUACUGAUCUAUCUUCCCAGUUCACUGAAUCUUUCCUCUGUCAUCUCUCUCCUACCGUUGAGCCUGAGGUCUCAAGAUGAAAUCAUCCUGGACUGAGGAUAGGCUCUAAAUACGAUGACUGGUGUCUUUACAAGAGAAAGGAGGUAGAGAUUUGGAUAUGGAGAGGCAAAGAGGGAAGAAGGCCACGUGAAGAUGGAGCUAGACAUUGGAGGGAUGCUGCCACAAGCCAAGGCUAUCAACCUAGUUGGUUUCAGAUCACAGGUUUUUUUCUCUCCUUCUAUGGCCGGUGUUUCCAAAGCGAAGUGUUGGAAGCUUUUGUAUGCUGCAUUUUGUUGGUCCCGUGAAGGCACAGCUCACAGGCUCCUUCUACACCUCCGGUCUGGCCCACAUCUGACUCAAAAUCAACAGAUGGCCAUCAAUCCUGCUUUUAGUUCUCCAAAGAAGGCGAUUCCCAGUUUUCGUUGCUCACAAAUUUUAGUACUUAACGACCCUGUUGGAAGGCUUUCCUUAUUGUGUUCAAUUUUCUUGGUUCUCUGAACUUCAUUGAUGUUCGUGCCUCUUCCUUGGUAGCUAAUAAUGUAUUUGUUGAAAAUAGAAGUAAAUGCCUAGGUCUUAUGCUCGUCCUAUUGAAUCUCCAAGGGGUAGGUUCCAGAAAUUUGAUUUUUUAAAAAUCUGUUUUAGGUAUGUUCUGGGAAUACAAAGAUAAACAGGACAGUCUUUCCCUCUUAUUACAGCAUCAUACAAAGGAACAGGUCCACUGGUGCAAUAAAGGUUGACCCAAGUUAUGGUGGAAACAAGCAUGGGCACCUAUGAGAGGGAGUGAUUGCUUCCACCAAGAGGAGGCCAGAAAUUCCAGGGUUGUGCAAUCAGGUGGUGCGGCACUUGCUCUGCAUCAGGUUGGUCGUCGGGAAAUGUUCGGUCUUGUGCAGCCUGAGCCUGAUGCUUCCUCUGAUACAGCAGGCAUCAGAUGCGGAAUGAUGGAGCACGCCUUGUCCUCUACUGCCUGCUCUAGUAACCACGAAUGGACCAGGAGGACGGGGGUAUAGAGAGCAUCUGCCAACUCAUCAACACACUCUUUCUGGUGAGCCUCUUGCAGGUUGCCCUUGGUCAGUGUGGGAGCGGGCAGAGAUCCACAGAAAGGGAGUUAGGAAGCUCAUCGGGCUUAUCGUCAGGAAACACGGGGGCCAGAGCUGACCCUGCUAACUUAUUAGCUAGGCAAUCUACUUAGCCUCUCUGAACCUUGUUUUCCCCAUCUGUAAAGGCAGGUAAUAAUAUCUACAUUAUAGAGUUGUUUGGGGGAAUUAUAUAAAAUAAUAUAUAGUAUAUCAACUUCUCAGCAUUGUGCCUGGCAUGGGGUCAGUGCUAAGAGUAUUUAUUUUUAUUAAUAGUAGAAAUAAUAAUGGAUCCCCAUUUGUGUGCCCAGAAGUGAUUCUUCCUCAGGCCAUGUAGGCCAAACUUUAUAUUUAUGGUGGCUCUCAACUGUUCGUUCUGCCCCAGAUCCCUGGAGGGCUGUGACACCCUCCUGCCUGUCCCGCUGGCUCACCAGGGCAGUGAUUCUCAAUCUGGGGCCCAUUCUUUGUAGCUCAGGUUGGCUUGAUACAAGUUCCCAGGUCAUUUGGACGCCCCUCCCUGCCCCCACCAAGGCACUUGCUCAUCACUCCUGCCGGCAGCUGAGAUUUAUUGCUUCUGGCAGUGUGUCUUCAGCAGAGUGUGCAUGUUAGCGUCUCACAAGGAGCUUUGUUAAAAUACACAUGCUGCAUCCCACCGCCACCUCGAUGAAUCCUAAUUGCCCUGGUGGAGGGUUGGUGAGUCUCUUUUACCUUCCCAAGCUGUGCUGAUAUACAAGCCUGGUUAAGAAUUAUCGUCUUCCUGGAUAUCUCUCUGCUCAACACUGUCUCACUCAGCUAGCACAGCACUAAAUCUUCUAGGAAAAAAUAACGGAGUCCACAUAGCUUUUCAAAGCCCGGAGAUACCAACCCUGUGUGUCAAACGAAGGAGGCAGAGCCCUUGGUGAUAAGGUACAUGUGACAAGAUGAGGAACUCUGCAUAUAAAGGGGUUCUGUACCCUGGACAUGAUGCGUACUAGGUCCUUCACAAAAGGCAGCUAUUGUUAUUAUUAAUAAUCGUUGUGUGUUGACCUCACAGACCUUAGUUCCUUGAAAGGCCUGUUUCCAUUUUUAGGGGAAAAGACUCCAAACCCAGGAAUUAAGAGACCAACUGGCUGUUUGGGAAGCAUUUAGAAAAUGUGACAAGAGGUGUCACACACAGGCUAGCAGCAGAGAGUUCAAAAAAGGAAGGCAUUGUGGCCUCUGUUUUCAUUUUCCUUUUUGCUUCUGAAAUGAGACAGGAAGGAGAGUGGUGUGUUAGCAGCUGGUGUGGAGAUGGACAGGGGGGGCCUCCCAAUACUCCAUCCCUAAGUUCUGUGAACAACAUGGUGAACCCCAGACUGCCCAGGGCUUUGAUUUUUGGCUCUCUUAGUAUUCACACUUGAGGUCUGGGGCUCCUGGUUGCUGUGCAAAAAUGAAUGUCACCACAUUUCCAACUGAACCUAGUGUGAUAUCUCUGCGCCCUGCCAGGAGACUCAGACCUGAGAUUUGAGUAGAAGAUGGAAAACCAUGGAGUCGGCAGAGGGAGGAAAUUCUGCCUUCUCCAGCUUUCUUUAGAUUCUCCAGAAAAGGGGAUUAGAGAGGCUCCUCAGAAUUAAGACUGGAAGGGGAGCUCAUCCCACUGGAGCAAAUUUGAGAAGAUAAAUGUACUGAAUCAAAUGAGACAUCGGUGAAGUACUUUAACAAGUACAGACUUUGUGACUAUCUACAUCAAGGGCAGCAGCAUCAAUAACUGUAUCACUGGUGGGGCCUGUAGACGGAAGCUUCAGUUGAAGGGGAUGCUCAAGGUUCUAAAUUUAGUCCUUAGCCCCUAGCCAGACCUGAGCCUGCACCCCGCUGGUCAGAGAGGCGAUCUGUUCAGUCCUUGGAGCUUCCAGUGAGGUGACUACAUAAGGUAUUUUGGUUUAGUGGGUCUUUAAAUAAGACAACUUUUCUUUAGGUCUAAUCUCUCUCCUGCUGACAGUUUCUAUCCUCCUGGGCCUUACCCUUAAACUGCCUGCUGCUUAUUUGAAAAGUGCGAUAGCACAAUACAAGCUGGUACUCUAGCAACUGUUAAAAUCUAUUGUAGGACAUCUAGCACACAGAGAAAAACUGGCCGCUCACCCCACUCCAUGCUAUUCCUAUCAGAGAGAACACAGAAAAUAUUCUCUCUUCCCUUGGCCAGCACCCUCCCUUUACUGAAAGAUGGUGCCUGUGCAUCUGAAAUGGGGGUUGGGGGAGGGUGGAGGCUGGCUUUCCUCCUCUACAAAGGCACAACGGUUCACAGCAGGCCAGAGCUGGGCACCUCUGAGGCGCGGUCCAGGCCUCUCGGAUCUGUGGGAACCGUGGGCUGCCCUAAGCCGGUUCAGGGGGGGAUGCCAGUCCUGGACAAUAAUGCCCACCGAGCCCCACCUAAUGUGACUUUAUCAGACGGGUCCCCACUCCCGCCGGGGAUAGACACACAAGAGUGCAUGCUUUAGGAAGAUUUCUGCGACAUGACAAAGUGCAAUUUAAAGUCUGGGUUCUCUUUUCCUGAGCUUGAAUCCAAACUUGGCCUGAAAUAGGAGAAGGCGCUGUAGUCAAGGGACCACAGGGGCGGGAGCAGGCGCCCGGCGCCGGCGGGGAGCUUCCCAGCCGUGACAACGAGCGACCAGCAGGUGUCAGUGCGCUCUCGCACUGUCGCGGCGCGCGGCCUCCGCCUCCAGGACCCCUCCCCACCGCGGUCUAAGGGGUCGCGGUCCAGAUACUGGGCCAUUCGUGUGUCUCGCAGACAGCCCUGUGGCUGGGACGGCACGUGGCCACCUCGCCCCUAUGCGGAGCUCUGAACUCUGGCCAGUCCCGCUCCCCGGGGCGCGCUUCCCAUUCAGCCCCAGGGGUUCCAUCCAAACCUGCGCCUUCCUCUCUCACCAGGACCCACUCGCCCCAGCCGCGAGGAGCGCUCGCAGACGAGGGCGGCCCGGCCCAGGGCGGGGCUGUUCCGGAUACGACCCGUACUGGUGGCUGCUUCUCCCGAUUCGUGCUGGGGGUUCCCAACACCCUUUCCUCCCAGGACCCAGCUCUAUGGGGGCACUCUCGGGUGCCCGCUGCUUUCUGCUGGCCUGGCCCGGAGCUGCCCGGUCAGUUCCCAGCAGGGACCGCUCCCCAUUGCCCGGGCACGCUCUUUAAACCUCUCGCUCAAGGUACCCGCCUCUCCAAAGAGCUCGUCGCGCGAAGACGGUAGCGCUCCCCUGGGUCUGGCGCGGGGCGCGGGCUCUAGACCAGCGGAGGGGAGGCGCAAGGGGCGGGGGAGGGUCGGUUUCCCACGUGGGGGCUGACGCCGGCUGCUCGGCAACGCCGGCUUGAUCCUGGGGCUAUAAAACCAGUCCACGGUGAGCGCGGCGGAGCAGCAGCGGCUCUGGCUUCGGUGCAGACGCCCAGCAGCCGGCGCGCUGCCGCCCGGCCUCCCCCAGCACCUUCUGCCCCCAGCCCUGCGCUCCUGCCCCAACUCAAGCUGUCCUCGGACCCUGGCCUGUCCGGUCGCGCUCAGCGCCCGCAGCUCGCCGGGCCGACGCCCAGGAGACUCCUGCUUCGGCUGCGGCUCCUGGAGGGCCGAUCGCCCACCCGGUCCGGCCCGCCUGAGGACCGGGGCGCCUUCAUGCGGUCCCCACCCUCCUCACCCCGCCGCUGCCGCUGCCCCCGAGCUCCGCGCGCUGCGCCCCAGCCCCAGCAGAGCACGCAACUUUGGAAGUCCCGCGGCGCUCUGAGAGGCGGCAGAGUCCGCACCCCGGCCCCAGCCCGGGCCUCGCUGGCCCCGCCGCGCUUGGGGGAAGCGAGAGAGUCGGUAAUCGCUUCAGGGAUGUAAGGAGACAGACAUAGGACCCCAAGCCCGCAUCAGCACCCCUCGGCCGCCUCCCAGGGUGGGGGCGGGCCCCGCACACG